GUCCGCGACGAUGCGGCGGGCGGCUGUGGUGACGUGAGGCGGGUGGACCCAAAAGAACCUCCUUGGCAUUGCAGAGCUGCUCUAGGCCGAGCUGCAUCUGUGCCAGUCUCUUCCCCAAGAGCCGGAGUUGGGUCGCAUCCCCUUGAGGACGGGGGAACGGGGCGGCAGAGUGCAUCUGUCGCCGACACUUCUCCUCGCUGUCCACUAAGGCCCGUGCCUCGAGUGGUGGGAGUUCUUUCUGAAGUUGGGAUGACUCCCGCUGCAGAUUGUGCACCUCGGUCAGCACCAGCUGCUGCCACUCCUCCAGCACGUUGACCCGCUGCUUCAACGUGUCCCGUUCCCGGAGAAGCUCCUCCAGCUGAUUCGCGUCCACGCCCGAACCUCAUGGCCGGCGUCGGACGUUUGCCAGAUGGUCAGUAAAGUCUGCCAUUUCUGGCGUAAACUGGAGCCUACUACUUGUGGAGCAACUGUGCCUGGUCCCUGUGAUAAAGGGGUCUUUUUGGUGAGGGGACCUUAACUGUGGGAGCAGAGAGGGUAGGGAACUUGCAAGUAGGCCAUUUAAGGCCCUCUGAUUUGACCGGAAGUCAAGGCCACACUUAAUACUGAAUCUUCGUUUCAGGCCUCAUACCAGAAUUGAUUCUUUGAUGCCUUGACAUCAAUUACACCUUGGUGAUGACUGAGACUUUUAGGGAGGAAGACAAAUGCUUCCCUGGAAGCACAAUUGGCCAGAAAGGAGAAGUGGUCAUCAGCAAACUCAAUGCCUGGGCCAUGAGCUGCCAUACAUGUGCACCUCGAAACCCUUAUGGGUCUGGAGAGCCCCUGACAGCAGCAGGAUGAGCAGCAGCACAGGAGAUGGGCUGGAUUCUCUGCCCUUCGCCCUAGUCCCGAGUAUCCUGCCAGCUCUUCCGCCCUGAGUUAAUUGCAGUUAUAAAAUUUCGUACCAGCAACAAGAAACCCG
rnacentral:lncRNA from 1 species